rnacentral:rRNA from 1 species
GAGUUUGAUCCUGGCUCAGAUUGAACGCUGGCGGCAGGCCUAACACAUGCAAGCCGAGCGGAUGAAGGGAGCUUGCUCCUGGAUUCAGCGGCGGACGGGUGAGUAAUGCCUAGGAAUCUGCCUGGUAGUGGGGGAUAACGUCCGGAAACGGGCGCUAAUACCGCAUACGUCCUGAGGGAGAAAGUGGGGGAUCUUCGGACCUCACGCUAUCAGACGAGCCUAGGUCGGAUUAGCUAGUUGGUGGGGUAAAGGCCUACCAAGGCGACGAUCCGUAACUGGUCUGAGAGGAUGAUCAGUCACACUGGAACUGAGACACGGUCCAGACUCCUACGGGAGGCAGCAGUGGGGAAUAUUGGACAAUGGGCGAAAGCCUGAUCCAGCCAUGCCGCGUGUGUGAAGAAGGUCUUCGGAUUGUAAAGCACUUUAAGUUGGGAGGAAGGGCAGUAAGUUAUACCUUGCUGUUUUGACGUUACCAACAGAAUAAGCACCGGCUAACUUCGUGCCAGCCGCGCUGUAAC